CUGAGGUGAACGCGGGAGCGUAACGGCAGGGGGCGACCCGCCAACGCCUAACGGUCGGUGGCGGUGGGGCCGCCAUUUUGGGCUCUGCCUGAGGGAGGCGGUGGGGCUCCCUGGCGCUCUCCCAGUUGUCCUGCCAGCCCCGGGGAGCCAUCGCUGGAGCCCCUCAUCCCCGUGAGGUGCGGGCGGUGCCACAGCACGGUAGGAGCCGCCUCGACGGGCCGCGAGGAGAACCGAUUGCUUACAUUUGAGAACGAUGAGUUCUGCAGGGACCUGUUUAAACUUAGCGUUCAUUCCUUCAUCCUAUCACACAUAUUGGGAUGUCUCUAUAUCAAUGGGGUGGUAUCUCAUUCCUCUGAGCUCCAGUGUUUCAUCCAAAGAGCCUACGACAUACAGGGCAUCGUGCCUCUCUGCGACAGAACACAGACAUUCCAAACAUCAACAGAUCUGAAGAACAGACAUCCUCAUUUGUACGUGCUUAUUCCUGAUGUUACAAGACAUUGCUGGUUCUUCUGAGGAGAAAGUCCGUAAUACACAUCAUGCUUUACCAUUUUUAAAGAUGAAGAAUUGUGAGGUCAUUUAGCACUUAUGUAUAUUGACUCAAAGCAAAAGAAACCAGACUAAAAAUAAUUUUUGUUAUCCAGUUCUGUCACUUCUCUUAUAUAACAUGAUCUCAGUUCAUAAAACUAAUCAAAAUCCAUCUUUUCAUCCCACUAUUCUUACCAAAGAACUUCUCUCCUAUCAAGAGGAGGAGAGAUUUCCCUUUUAUUUUAUUUUUUAAAGAAUUUAUACCCACUUGUUCUCAUGACAGCAACAUUUUUCUCAACUUAAGUUCCCCACAGUUAAUGAAGAGAACAAACCUAUUGCCUUAGCUUUCCUAGGUUAAACACACAAAGCUCUUCUAGACCUUACAGAACACGCUCUCCAAACUGACAUGCUCAUCCUGUAACUCUGUCGAAAGGAAUUGUUCUUUUUUUUCUGUGCCUAUUUUAGAAUUCUGCUCAGUCAUGUAACUUGAGACUAAAAACUACUGGGAAGCAGCACUAUCUUUCAUUCACAUUUGCUAAUAAUGUGGUAAUUUAUGACAGCUGUUCUCUCAAAUGCUAACAAACUUAAGGACAACUGACAUUGUUCCACAGCAGGAAUAUCUUUAUAUGUGAUUUUUUAGAAAGCUACAAGACACAAAAAAGUGCUGUAGUAAUCUAGUGCCUUGCCAUCUGCAACUUCUCGUUGUGAACAUCUGCUUGCAAUUCCCCUUUCUUUCCACUAUCAGCUUUCUCCAGAAGAGGGAGCCACUCCACAUUUCCAGAAGUGGAAAAAAAAAAGUUCUAUCUUGUAUCAUGGGCGAUUACAGGAUCUAUAAAAGGUAUCUGUGAACGCCCUAUUUAUCCAGUGACAGCAAUGAGGGGGACACAGAUACUAUCAAUGGAGAUAUCACUGUUCAUUUAAGUUCAAUCACAAGCAAUGGCAGGUACAUUGCUAACAAGUUUUUCUUCCAUCUGUGUACAUUUCUCAAGUUCAGACACUGGUUUAAGUUAGAAAAAAAAGAGAAAGAAAAAAAGGAGAUGAACACUAUUUAUAUAUUGGAAAAAAAUAAGGAUAAGUUACUCCUCUAGACAUUUCACUUCUGAAAGGCUGGGAAAUUGCUGAUAUUUGUGCAUGUCCUAGAACUGCUGAAUGACUUACCAUUAUUAGUAUUAUCUAGAUCAGCACGGAAAUACUGUAUUCUCUCUGUACAAAAGAGGUUUAUGCAAGAAGUAAGUAGAAAGUCUCUAGUGCUCUUAACAAGCAUACUCAUAUUAUUUUGUUUAAAUGGAUAUAAAGGAAGAGGAUCCUACUUUCUAAAUGAAAAGCGCAUUACGAAUUUCUCCUUUUGCAUGAUUACCCAGUAUCAUUAUAAUCAAUGAACGUAUAUAGAGUAAAGAUUCCUUUUAUAUUCAGCUCUCUUAUGGCAGCCAGGAUAAUCUUGCAGGACAGCUUACUCUUUGCUAGCUCAGCUACCCCAGUGAGUUUCAGCACAUGCUUCUCUAAGUGUAUCUGUUUCCUCUCACCUCCACUAGCAUCAGUAAGUUCAGUUCUGCGCAGAAAGCCAAGGUAUCCAGUCCGAGCCCAUAUGGUCUGAGUGUCUCCAAAACUCAAUCGAGCAGUAAAGUGAUCAGCGUGCAGUGCUUCUUCUCCAUACACUGUGUAGUAACCAGUAGCAUUAUGCGGACUACUCACCCAUAUCUAGGGGAUUAAAAAAAAAAAAAAAAAGAAAAAGAAAAAAAGAAGAGAACUAUUCCAAUAUAAA